UACGUAGGGCGCAAGCGUUGUCCGGAAUUAUUGGGCGUAAAGAGCUCGUAGGCGGUUCGGCAAGUCGGAUGUGAAAUCUCCACGCUUAACGUGGAGGGGCCAUUCGAAACUGCUGUGACUCGAGUCCGGUAGGGGAGUGUGGAAUUCCCGGUGUAGCGGUGAAAUGCGCAGAUAUCGGGAGGAACACCAGUAGCGAAGGCGGCACUCUGGGCCGGAACUGACGCUGAGGAGCGAAAGCGUGGGGAGCGAACAGG
rnacentral:rRNA from 1 species